UGAGUAACACGUACUUAACAUGCCCUCUAGAUUGGAAUAACGAUUAGAAAUGAUCGCUAAUGCCGGAUACUUAUUUCCUUCGCAUGAAGGAUAUAUAAAAGGAGCGUUUGCUUCGCUAGAGGAUUGGGGUGCGUAACAUUAGCUAGUUGGUAGGGUAAUGGCCUACCAAGGCUAUGAUGUUUAGCGGGGUUGAGAGACUGAUCCGCCACACUGGGACUGAGAUACGGCCCAGACUCCUACGGGAGGCAGCAGUAGGGAAUUUUCCACAAUGGACGAAAGUCUGAUGGAGCGACACAGCGUGCAGGAUGACGGCCUUCGGGUUGUAAACUGCUGUUAUAAGGGAAGAAAAAAUAAAGUAGGAAAUGACUUUAUCUUGACGGUACCUUGUCAGAAAGCAACGGCUAACUAUGUGCCAGCAGCCGCGGUAAUACAUAGGUUGCAAGCGUUAUCCGGAAUUAUUGGGCGUAAAGCGUCUGUAGGUUGUUUGUUAAGUCUGACGUGAAAACUUGGGGCUCAACCCCAAAUUGCGUUGGAUACUGGCAAACUAGAGUUAUGAAGAGGUUAGCGGAAUUCCUUGUGAAGCGGUGAAAUGCGUAGAUAUAAGGAAGAACACCAACUUGGCGAAGGCAGCUAACUGGGCAUACACUGACACUGAGAGACGAAAGCGUGGGGAGCAAACAGGAUUAGAUACCCUGGUAGUCCACGCUGUAAACGAUGAUGAUUAGCUGAUGGGGAACUCAUCGGCACAGCUAACGCAUUAAAUCAUCCGCCUGAGUAGUAUGCUCGCAAGAGUGAAACUUAAAGGAAUUGACGGGGAUCCGCACAAGCGGUGGAGCAUGUGGUUUAAUUUGAAGAUACGCGUAGAACCUUACCCACUCUUGACAUCUUCCGCAAAGCUAUAGAGAUAUAGUGGAGGUUAACAGAGUGACAAA
rnacentral:rRNA from 1 species